rnacentral:tRNA from 1 species
GGGCCCGUGGUCCAGUGGAUAAGACGCGGGAUUGCGGAUCCCGUAACCCGGGUUCAAAUCCCGGCGGGCCCG